rnacentral:rRNA from 1 species
GGCGAGAGACCGAUAGCGAACAAGUACCGUGAGGGAAAGAUGAAAAGAACUUUGAAAAGAGAGUCAAACAGUACGUGAAAUUGUUGAAAGGGAAACGAUUGAAGCCAGUCGUACCGACGGGAAUUCAACUUUUUGAGCGCUUGUCGUGGGUGAUGUAGAGCCUCACGGCCUUCGUUGCUUUGCGUUAUGGUGCUUUUAGGGUGUACUUUUCCGUAUGGUAGGUCAAUAUCGAUUUUGGUCGUCAUAAAA